AAUACAGAGGUGGCAAGCGUUGUUCGGAAUUACUGGGCGUAAAGGGCGCGUAGGCGGUCUCGCAAGUCCUGUGUGAAAUCCCCCGGCUCAACUGGGGAACUGCACAAGAAACUGCUUGGCUUGAGUUCGGGAGAGGGAAGCGGAAUUCCGGGUGUAGCGGUGAAAUGCGUAGAUAUCCGGAGGAACACCGGUGGCGAAGGCGGCUUCCUGGACCGACACUGACGCUGAGGCGCGAAAGCUAGGGGAGCAAACGGGA
rnacentral:rRNA from 1 species